UGCCCCGACCCGUAGUGCGCCGCCGCCGCCCCCGCGCCUCCUUCGCCGCCCCCGUGCCCCCGCGCCUCCCAUCUCGCUUCUCAGUUCUCUCCCGACUCCCCAGAUCAGGCAACCUCGCUCCGGUAUAGAAGGACCCCUCCUCCCACGGCCGCCGGGCCCUCGUCCUCCACCCCAUAGCCACCGCGUCCGACCUCCACCGCGCCGCUGCCUCCCUCCCUCAUCGGCAGAGCCCACCCCCUAGUAGUCUUCCACACACCCAUGGACGACGGCGACAGUGACGCGGCUGCCGCCUCCCUCCUGCACGUCUCUUCUGGUGACGGUACCGCACCCACCUACGACGUCUGCUGCACAAAAAGCGCUAUGGAGGCGGGCGGACCCAAGCUGGCCGCGUGGGGUGGAUCCCCAUCCACCCCAUUCUCUCGCCUCGGCGUGUCUCAUGGGGGAACUCAUGGCCCUCGACGGCGGCGAGCGAGGAGGCUCCCGCUGUAGCUCCGAGCACCUUCUCGACAUGCUGCAUGGCCUAGACGGCCAAGGUAAUCCCUUAUUCCUUCCCCCAUCCUGCCAAGUACGUACAUAGCUUGCAGCAAUGUCAUAUGCUGGUGCCUCCUUGGGCAGACUAGCGCCGCAGAUUUGGAUGUUUGCCACAUACAUUUUUUUCAGAGAGAGGAACAGACACUCGUAUCCGGAAUAGAUACCAUAGUAUGUUUGUUUGCAAGAUAUCCGUGGAACUCAAAUAAAACUCUAAGUAUAGGGAUGAAGUCAUCUAGGAAAUACAUCUGAGGACUAUGGUGAAGUUACAAAAUAAAAAAAAUCACUUGCACAUAUCAAACUGACUUCUGAGCAGGAAUUUGGUUGCUCCAUAAAAGCUGCUGUUUUACAAUUUGUUCUUUUUUGAGUUCCACGGAUGCAUAGCUCCCUGAGUUGUUUGGCUGUUUACAUGCAUGUUUAUGGGCUAUUUUGUGCAACUAAAGAAAUUCAUUUAUGGUUGUCAGAUACUCAUGUCCUUUAUUAGCUUGAUGAGGUACACCUUAUGUUGGACUGAAUUCAAAAUAUUACAUAUCUCGGUGAAAAAUUUAUCUAGCAUAUGCAAUGUUAUGUUCUGUGAGCAGUGUCAAGUUAGAAGAAUAAGUUAUGCAUCUGAAAACAAAUCUCUUCUUUUUUUCAUAUUCAAAGAAAAUAAGUUAGUUGUUGAGUGUUUACUUCCCAAGUGACAACUGAGUAAUCACGUUCAGGUACAAUAAAAAAUGGCAAGCCAGAAUGUGCUAGCUAUUUGCCAAUUUGUCAUAACAUGCAUGUAAAGAGAUGGCAGGAGUUUAUGCACAUUUCUUGACUUCAACAUAUGACUAUCCAAAUUCAAUUGGGACCGCUAAGGUUGGCACCUUUCUCUCUCUUCCUUGGAGCUGCAUGAUUCCGUUCGAGUUGCUUAUCUCCACUUCCCCUGAUGCGAUUUCCCUCCUCACGCAGGUUAGGUAGGAGCACAAAGGUAGAUUGAAAAUUACCAUCGAGUCUAUCUCCUACUUCGACUGCAAUGUACUGCUGAGUCCCACUUGCUUUCUUCCCUCUCUUUUCUCUUCUUAUCAGAGCAAAGAUGCAUUUCAGGCGAUGAACUCAACCAUUGCUUUUAUGUUAUACUCCCUCCGUCCCAAAUUAAUUGACUUACAUUCAUCUAGAUACGGAUGUAUCUAACACUAAAACGUGGUUAGUCAUGUUCGUAUGUAGACAAAUCUGAUUCAACUAAUUCUGGACGGAGGGAGUAUUGUUCAGUGAGCUUUUUAUAGAGGUACAAGUUGGUCUUUGUGUUCAGAGGCUUGAUAUGACUGUUAACUCUAUAUUGUUUGGCUGUGUAUAUUUGCAAAUGAAUAUUGAUGCUAAUCACAUAGAGGAAAUAUGCAGGUCAUGGUCUUAAUCACGUGCGAUGGAUUAACAUAUUUCCUUCUUUUUGCUAUGAUUGCAAUGUGGCUGCUAAUGACUCACUAUCUUCAAAAUGCUUUUUAUUGAUCAAUAAAAGUAUUAACAAGCCCUCUUAAACAAUAACAAGCUCUGAUGCUCUGUUUUCAGUGAGAUUGCGAAGAACUUGCCACUUGCACCAGUAAAGCUCCAUUGCACUAUGCCUGCUGAAGAUGCAGUUAAAAUCAAAGAAGGUGAAUCUGGGAGAUAGCCUUGCAGAGACACCUUUGAAAGGUUCGUUUAUUAUUUCAAACUGCUUAAUUUUGUAGAUCAUGCCCCAAAAUAAAUAGGUCUCAACAUUAUUGCUGCUAGUAAUUGAUAGUCUGUCAAUUGGGUUGAGGCAGUUUAUGUUCAUUUUUCUCAUGUAUACUUCUAUUUCUCUGCAAGAUGUAUGAUACCCGUAUUAGCAAAUCUUAAGUGGUGAAGUCGAUUCAUGACCGUAAUGCUUGCAGUCUUGACCCCCCCCGGGUCACUGGUCAUGAUAAGCAUUUCAUAUUGUACAAACAAAAGUUUUGUUUUUCAUUGAGCUUUUUUGUGUCAAGCAAUAUGUGUAACUCCAUCUUAGCUUGCAGAAUACACAAGAACUGUUAGAUUUUAAUGCUUUUUUGUAUUUUUGUCCUAUUGUUGUAUCGACACAGUUUCAGUUCCUUUAGGUACACUUUACUUACCUUAAGCUCUCAACUAUUUGUUUGUUGUGUUGUUGGCUUAAUAAAACUGAUGUAACUCAGUUUCUUGUAUGUACCCAUGAGGAUCGUCAUGGUAUCCACCCGCACCCUCUUGUUGCCUUUCUAUGCGGUGCAUCAGCCUCCUAUAGAUGACCCAAAGCUUGCAGUAGCAUCAUCAUCAUCUCUGUCUCCUUCCUCACGAGCUUCAUGUCGUAGAUGAGGUCGCAACCGAG
rnacentral:lncRNA from 1 species